UACGGAGGGUGCGAGCGUUGUUCGGAAUCACUGGGCGUAAAGCGCGUGUAGGCGGCUUCUUAAGUCCGAUGUGAAAGCCCGGGGCUCACCCCCGGAAGUGCAUUGGAUACUGGGAAGCUGGAGUACCGGAGAGGAGGGUGGAAUUCCUGGUGUAGCAGUGAAAUGCGUAGAUAUCAGGAGGAAUACCGAUGGCGAAGGCAGGUCUCUGGGCUAUAACUGACGCUCAUGCACGAAAGCGUGGGGAGCAAACAGG
rnacentral:rRNA from 1 species